UGGAAAGUGGGUGUUAACAUUUUUCUCCUGGAGCGCCAUUUGUACCCAGUACUAGAAAUACAACAUGGGGUCAUGAAUAAAACAGUAUCCACACCAAACACAGUCAAGACGACAAAGUUCCUCUGGAACAGCUGAAUCUACAGAUGCCCAACUGCUUUGGCCAGAAUGACAAGGAAAAAUUCACAUACGGUUACACAAUGGACAUAGCUUAGAUACCCCUCCAUAUCGCUAAUAUUUAAGAAAGCAUUCCUAAAAAUUGAAAAAAAAGUUUAAUAAUUUUUUUAAAAAUCUAAGCUCGGAGUUUC